AAAGAGGGUAAAAAAAAAAAAAAAAAAAAAAAAAGAAAAGAGUCUUUUCCCUGCGGGCCAAGGGUGUCAAUAUUGAGAGCCGAUGGUUGUGAUGUACCACGUUCGUUUCUGAAAAAGCUUCGAAAGAAAACGUCGAAGAGGAAAUUCUUAGGGAGGAAAAGAUAUCGUAGGGUGUGGUAUCUUGGUGAUGGUGGUGGUGAUGGUGGUGGUGGUGAUGGUGGUGGUGGUGAUGGUGUUGGGCCUGGCCCUACUCUUUCCUAUCCUUCUCCUCGCUUGCGGUUCGACUGAAAGGAGAAAAAAAAGAAAAAAACGAUGGAAAGAGAAAGGUGACGGAUAUAAGAAAAAAAAAAAAAGA